AAGAGUAUGUCCUGCCCGGUGAAUUACGGUUUUAACGGCCGCGGUAUCCUGACCGUGCAAAGGUAGCAUAAUCAUUUGCCUUUUAAUUGGAGGCUUGUAUGAAUGGAUUAACGAGGGGCUGAUUGUCUCACUUACAAAUAUAUAAAUUAGUAUUUAGGUGAAGAAACCUAGAUUAAACUAAAAGACAAGAAGACCCUAUCGAGUUUUAUUCACCCAAUUAUAUUUUAAAAGUUUGGAAUAUUUUAAAAGGAAAAAGGAGAAUUUGGUUGGGGCGACUGGGGAAUAAUAAAAACUUCCCCGCAAAAAAGAAUUUAUUCAAUUAAAGAUCCAACAAGAAGUGAUUAGAAGAAAAACACUACCGUAGGGAUAACAGGCUGAUUUCUUUAGAGAGUUCUAUAUUGAACAAGGAAGAAU
rnacentral:rRNA from 1 species